rnacentral:misc_RNA from 1 species
CAGAGUGUAAAAACUCCCAAAAACCAUUGUGAAUCUACCACGUUUAGUUGCUUCGGUGGGCGAUCCCGGGGCGGGAUCGUAGCCGUCAGGCGCCCACCGAAGGUAUCAAAACUCUGCUGUAUCAGGCCUUCUGAGUACCACACAAAUCAAUCA